AGGACGAACGCUGGCGGCGUGCUUAACACAUGCAAGUCGAGCGGUGAUCCUCCUUCGGGAGGUGAUCAGCGGCGAACGGGUGAGUAACACGUGGGCAACCUGCCCCUCACACUGGGAUAACCUCGGGAAACCGGGGCUAAUACCGGAUACGACCUCGAGCGGCAUCUCUUGAGGUGGAAAGCUCCGACGGUGAGGGAUGGGCCCGCGGCCUAUCAGCUUGUUGGUGGGGUAAUGGCCUACCAAGGCGACGACGGGUAGCCGGCCUGAGAGGGCGACCGGCCACACUGGGACUGAGACACGGCCCAGACUCCUACGGGAGGCAGCAGUGGGGAAUAUUGCGCAAUGGGCGAAAGCCUGACGCAGCGACGCCGCGUGAGGGAUGAAGGCCUUCGGGUUGUAAACCUCUUUCAGCAGGGACGAAGCGAAAGUGACGGUACCUGCAGAAGAAGCACGGCUAACUACGCGCCAGCAGCCGC
rnacentral:rRNA from 1 species